AGUACCUCCAGUACAAACAGCUUAAUAGAAGCUAAAAUAAUCUCACUUUUUGAAGAUACAGGUGCAGGACUAUGAAAGCAGACCACUAUGGAAGUUGGAGGACAAUGUAUGUUAUAAGUGACUAAAACCAUUUAACAUCUUGUGUAGUACACAAAAUGAGAGACGUGAACAAAGCAAGAUACAACUAUAAAAUUUACAAGUAAAUAUUAUACAGAGCUUUCUCAGCUAACAGAAACCAUUUAUUCUCUAUACUCCAGUAAAGAUUUGUGAGCACCAAAUUUUAACAACUCACAUACUCUUUCAUGAUUCACAUCUAAAAUGCAAGUUCCCUACUAAAGUAGAUGAAUCACAUAAUCACUUCGAAAAUCAAAAUGAAGUGAACUUGUGUUUGUCAGCAUAUAUUCAGCUUUUUCUAUGACUUCAAAUUAACACUAGUGCUCAGUAUGCUGGGCAAGCACAAGGUCCUUAUCUCCUUUAGCAAACAUCAUUACUCUAAAACACACCAACAAGGUGAAUCCAACCAAACUGAUUUGCUGAUUUUGCAACUUGACAUCAAAGUAUGAAAAUCAGUUCUUCGUUUGUUGGCCCAAUGACCCAAAUUCUGAUUGCUGUGCAGGUAGAAUUGUAUUUCCCUGUAAUUAUUUGCUCCUAUUACUCUCAUGCUGUAAAUAGUAAGAUCUUGCCCACAUAAAAACUUCAUCCUUUUAAUAAUGCUAGUGAAAUUUAAAAAUUUUACUGGCAAAUUAUUUAGCACUUGGUAGUAAUUGUACUUACACAUUAAGAAAACUUCACAUUAUUCAUUAUCCUAGUUCAUUUAUCCACAGCUGCAUGAAAGUGAGGUCUAAAUCUCUGCUUUGAACUUGUACAUUUAAUUUGUUUUGGGUUAUAAAGACAUGACUGCUUUUGUGUCAGCUGUUUCCAUCAUCACACAUCUUCAUAAUUUAUUUUCUACACAGAGAACUUUAAGAACUUAACAUACAGUCAUCCUGCCUUCUUACAACUAGAAUUUGUAAGUAUUUCUUAUGUUUUCCCAGAUUUACAAAACACUUGGUUUGGAUUAUCCCUGUAAAACAAUUAUUGUAUAGCUUUAAAAAGACAGAUAAUUCAAGCCAAUCGUUUUUUCAAAUUUCCUUACUAUAGGCAAUGUAGACAGAUGUAACUACAGUUUGACGAAUUACUGAGAAUAAUAGAGAACUACCAACCUGAAGAUCAUGGUGCCUCGGUUUUUCAUUACAAAAUGCACAGGCAAAUGUUUAGGAAUUGCCUGCUUCUGAGUUGCAAGGCUUUGCUACCUUGUGAGAACACAUUAGCUUUACACAGAACAAAGUAUGGGAAAGCUGAAGCGUAAUCACAGGCCAAAGCAGCAAUAGAUUCUGUAAGAUUAAACAGGAAUGUUUACAAGCUUUUUGUUUUAUAUUACUGAUAGCAUUCUGACUAUAUAAAGAAGUGUUCAAACAAGUUCAGACCUGAUGCUGUUUUCAUUGACAGUGUUGCAAGAGAGCAUCGCGCCCAUCUUGAGAUGUUUUGGAUUCUGAUUAGCGCCUCUCACCGCAGAGGCAGAUCAUAGCAGCACCCUUCAAACAUUCACAAAGCUUCACCACCAGCAGCACUCAUCUGUCCAUAUGCCAGCGUCCACACCAGGCACACUUAUUGUGCUGGUGCCAGGGUGUACCUGAUCAUACCUAUUGACAUGUUUCCUAAGACAUAGACUUCAACAGACCAGGCCGCAUUUAAAAAAAAAAAAAAAAAAGGAAUCAGGCCUUUUUAGAUCUUGAAGUUCAGGCCAGGACAGUGUUAGACAUGAAAAUUUAGUAUUUAGUUCACUGCCAAACAUAUUUGUGUACUAGCAAUAAAUUUACCUGAUGUAUUUAAGUAGAUGCAAGAGAUCAUAGUUAGUCUGGACAGAAUUAUGUCAGUAGAAAGCUGCUUUCCGUGCUGCACAGUUUGUUUGCUUUUUCGUCCAGCUAUGUAAGGUAAACUGAUACAAAAUGUAUUGCAUACUACAUUAACAAUUUUGACUACCUUGCUAUAGUAUGGAUUAUAAGACAAACAAAGCCUAACCAUUCAAAAAUACUCCUUUUACCGCAAGAUAGUGAAUGAACUGCAGCAAAAUGAAAAGGAUUUGUACUUGCAAGUGACAUUAAACCAUUCUCUAGAAUUAAAAAGAAAUGACUUAAGGCAAUUGGACAAGAUUAUAAAAUUAUACAGUAAGUUAAACCUACAGUAAAUGAGUAGGUUUUAAAAAGACUUUUCUUGGAACAAGGACUGUCUUAGUCAUAUAUGAAGUCAUGUAGUAAGCAGAAAAGAGAAAGAAAUCCUCUGUACACAGCAUUAAGGAGACAUACAGGAAAAGGGUUAAUAUAGAGGGUUUAUCACAGUCAAUAGGACAACAAUAAAGCAAAGUUAUUGACUACAUGCAUUCAUAACCGUUAAGUGAUAUCAUGAAUGGAAAAAAAUAAAUGCAAGGACAAGAAGGAAGCAUUGCAAAUCAAAUGAUGUUUUGUUUUUAGUUGAUUAUUGAUACCUUUAGUUUUUCAUUAAUGCUACCUCCUGGCAGCAUACAGUAGCUUCAGUCUCAGCUUGCCUGUUUUUUUUGUUGUUGUUGUUGCUUUUGUUUUGUAUGUUUGUUUUAAGGGACAGCUCUCAAAACAACUCAGUGCCUGCCACUUUUAGGGAUGACAGCAACAUACAGCUUCAAAACAUGCCAAGCAUUACUGAAUAAACAGUAAUAUAUAAGUUAAAAAUACAAAAUCUAAGCAUUUACACCUAUAUCAUAUAAUUUAACUACUCAGUUUCACCUACAAAGUAGCCAUAUCAUGCCAGAAUUUUGCCAUGUUAUAAGAACUAAUGCUGUAACUUUUCCGUAGGACAACAGUGAAUUAAUAUUAUGACAAUGUACUUUGAAAGACAGAA